AUCGUGACCUGAGCUGAAGUCGACACUUCACCGACUGAGCCACCCAAGCGCCCCCACGAAUAUCAUUCUUAUCACACAGUGGAUUGCUCCUGGGCCUGCCCAAACUUAUGAUUUGGUAGGUCUUACAGUCCCAACUCAUGACGGGCAGUUCUGAUCACAUGAUCACGCGAUGUCCCAUAUUUGGGUGCUCUGUCCCUAUCGGGGCUCAGUAGCAUGCAGGGAGCUGCUUUCUGAACGGCAUGGCGUGGCCUUGCUCCAGAAGCUAGAACUAGGCACUUACCUUGUGAUUCUUCUGUUGGGGCUUGCCAUAAACUCCAUCCAGCGUCUAAUCCCAUUACCCUUAUCUCUACUAUAAGGUCACAUGACCCAAGCCCCAGGGCUGUUUGCAACGCAGCCUGGACUUGCGGCAGAGUUCUUUCCUGCUCUGGGCCCCACUCAAAGUUGGCAGCCUUCUGUAUUGUCCAGUUAAUGGGUAUCCCCACGCGCAGAACAUGCUACCCCAAGAUCCUGAGGAGGCGUACCAAACACGGCGCUCCUCUCCGAGUGGUGAGACAAAAUGCAAUAAGUUGCCUUCUGCUUGGUCGAGGAUGUCCCAGCAUGCCCCAGCCCACCGGGUCCCUCAAACUUCCACUGAUGUGAUAGGGCACUAACUGUCACAGGGUUUAUCUCCCACUCGUGGGAGUUCAUGUGUCUUAUCAAGACCUCCAACAUACUUACCACUUGUCGCUCAACUGUUCCGAUUAACAAGACACCAUCAACGUGGCGCAUCCACGUGAUGUGCAGAUGUCCAGAUGGCCCAGAGCCCUCCAGAUUAUGAGAGAGAGGCGGGAAGUUAACAUGGCCCUGGAGCAAGACCAUCCGUGUCUGCUGUUGUCCACCCCACAAAAAUACAAGUCAUUAGAGAUAGAAAAUAAGGUAUUAGGCAGAUCCACGGCCAUACACGCACGGUGUGCUGGCAGCAAAGAUACCAUGUUGGGUAAAGCACCUGUAGUUGGAACCGCUCGAUCAAGUGACCCACCCUCAUUCGCCACGAUCCAUCCAGAUCGUUCAGGGGCCAGACUUGGGAAUUAAAUGGGGAUACGUUGGGAACUACCAACUCUGCAUUCUUUACAUCGUUGAGGGUGACCCUAAUCUCUGCCAUCCCCCCAGGAUGUGAUACCGCUUAGGAUUCACUCUCUUGGCUUGGUGGCUGAGGGGGGCAUUUCAGAAGCUUCUACCUCAUCUCCUUCACUAUGGUGGCCCUUACUCCGUAGGCCAAAAACUCCAGGAUGAAUGGGGGUUCUGCUAACCGCCCCCCCUAAAUAAGUGCAUUCCAAUUAGACAUCCAGGGAGCAGAGAAAUGACCGCUGGGUAGGUUCAUGGACCCAAUGGAACCACCACUAGUCAGACCUGGGCCCAGAUUCCAUUUAUUAUCCUGAUGAAGGGCCCAGAGUGGAGUUUUGUGUCCCUGGUGUCAACGUUUGUACCAACAAUCCUUGAAAAGUCUGCAUAGUCUCUCUCUCUCUCUUUUUACAGCUCUGUUACCCAAGCAAAUGGCCAUAGGACUCUCUGCAAAGGGAAUGAGCCUCAACCAACUAGCAGUGGGAGUUGAUGAGUCAGUACCCCAGCUUCCUUGCUCAUCUGGGAGAACAAUUGUGCUUCACACUGUCCCCCGGGGUUCCCCAGAGCAAUUGUGCCCCAGUUGCCCACAGAGGUCACCUGCUGUUUCGCUCAGCCUUGAUCAGCCUUCCUCCCUGCACGGUCUCACUUCCCCAGUCCAUCACUGUCCUCCUUGGGACCUCUUCCCAAGUGAACUACUUGCACCUACAUCCUGGUCUCAGAGUGCACUUCUUGGGGAAACCACACUAAGGUAUCAAUGCAGAAAGAAGUGACCGGAGAAGCCAUAGUGUCUCUUCGUGACGUUGAGGCACUUCCGGUUUAUGUGCACAGCGGUGCAGGAAAGGUCCCAUCAGCCUCCGUGGUAACCCCGUCCAACAUUUAAUUCUCGCUGCCAGACCUUUGCUUUUUAUUCUCAACCCUCAAUCCCUCCUGCUGGAAUUUCAAACCACUUCAUCAUCUUAUGAUUUUUUUUUUCCUUUUUUUCUGAGCGAUAGAGAACAGCCGACCACCAACUUCGGUGUAAGAGCCCCUUAUAUGCUGGAGCGUGGGUAUUAAUCUUUCCUUCCCCAGGCUGAAGAAUCCAGGUUCUUUAAAUGAGUGCCCAUCGGUCCCGUUUUCCAGGCUUUUAAUCAUCUUUGCGGCUGUAAGCUGUCACCCCCAGCUGCUCACCAUAGACCAGCCUGCAGGCUUCUGGAGACCACCAGAUGCAUGUCUUAACCCAGAGAAUUUCACAGGAGGGGAGGCGCCCCAGCCGCUGUAAAUCACUCUCCCCCUGGCCUCCUCCCCAAAGCCAGAGAACAAGCCCCAGCUUGCUGUUGAAGGCCAUAAAACUUCUCUUCUUUAAAGGGCCCCUUUGUUGGGUAUGUUCAUUGUAGCAGGCAUGCAAGUCCGCCAAGGGCCCAUAAAACUUCCACGGGCUUUGUGCGGGUGACCCCACAGGCCUGCGCCUUAGCAAUCCCACCCUUAAGCCCACAAUGAAACGGUUUCUGGGUUCACCCAGAAACAGACUGGACUCAAUUUGCCUUGUGAUUUGUUUGUUAGCUUUACAAAUGGCUUUUGAGGCCAGACAACCCCUCCUAACCCUGACUACUUGAUGACUGGAAGCCCCGGGACUUCCCGGCGAACUGUGGGGGGCUCUCAGGUCUCCAUGGAGAUUUCAAAACAAUUCACCUCAAGGGAAAAGCUGUUGCUGCCCUUGAAGGGUGAGCCAGCGUUCGGACGCAGCUGGGCUGUCCCGUCUCUGGGAAGCAAAGGUGUUUCGCCUCACGCCCGCGCCGGCAUGGUCCGGGGCCCCGCUCCCUGAGAAGCUCCGAGGUUCUUGCCUGGUCCCUGACGCCGAAUCUGCUCCAGCAACCCUGCCGGUCUUGGCAUGAAAUGAGUCAUUGUUUUCAUUAACUGAGAAGCUGAGGCUCAGAGAAGGUGAGUGGCAUGUCCUUGGUCACACAGUAAACUGGAGGCAGGACCAAUGUUAGAACCGAGGUAUACUCGUGUUCUCUGGCUGUAUGACAGAUCGCUACACAUUUAGCAGCUCAAAACAACAGCCAUUUAUUAGCUCACAGUUCUGUGGGUCAGAAGUUGGGGCCCGGCAUGGCUGGAUUCUCAGCUCAGGUUGUCACCACGCUACAAUGAAAGGUCAGCCAGGCCUGUGAUCUUGCCUGGAGCUUAGGGUUCCCUUUUGUGUUCAUUCAGGUUGUUUGCAGGAUUCCGUUCCUUGCGGUUGUAGGAUUUAAGGUUCCCAUGUUCUUGAUGACUGUUGGCCUGGGCUCACUUUGAGCUUCUAGAGACCACUUUUGGGUCCUUGCUAACGUGCCCCCAACACCUUCAAAGCCAGGAAUGGAGAACCUCCCUGACACCAGAUAUUGGAUCCUUCUCAUUUCAGAGAAGCCUGGUCUCUUUUAGGCUCACCUGAUUAGGUCAGACCCGCCCAGGAUAAUCUCCCUUUCUUAAAGUUGACUGUAAUACAGCAUAAUCUAACCACAGGAAUGGUAUGCCAUCAUAUUCAUAAUUCCUUCCCACACUCAAGGGGAGGGAAUUCUAUAGACCCUGGACCCGUGGGGGCCAUCUCAGAAUUCUGCCAACCACAGGAAGUGUGCUGGAAUAGCACUUUCCCUGCUGUAGGGAAGGCUUCCUUGACAACUCAUUUUGAGAGUUCCAUGCCCAUCCCAGAUUAUAUUUAAAAAAAAAA